rnacentral:rRNA from 1 species
UACGAAGGGGGCUAGCGUUGCUCGGAAUCACUGGGCGUAAAGGGUGCGUAGGCGGGUCUUUAAGUCAGGGGUGAAAUCCUGGAGCUCAACUCCAGAACUGCCUUCGAUACUGGAAAGCUCGAGUCCGGGAGAGGUGAGUGGAACUGCGAGUGUAGAGGUGAAAUUCGUAGAUAUUCGCAAGAACACCAGUGGCGAAGGCGGCUCACUGGCCCGGUACUGACGCUGAGGUGCGAAAGCGUGGGGAGCAAACAGG